GAGAGAGAGUGGAGCAAGUGAGAGAGAGAGAGUGAGGGGGAGAGAGAGCGAGGGGGAGCGAGCGAGAGAGAGAGCGAGUGAGAGAGACCGAGAGAGACAGAGUGUGAGAGUCGCUCCUGCCCUCUGUCUUUACACACUGCUGCCUGUGUGUGCGCCGUCUCUCCUUGCCUGCACUCUCUCACACACACACACUCACGCAGACGCACGCUCACACAGACCGAGGGAGAGAGCGGAUAGAGCGAGCAAGAGAGAGAGGAGGGAGAACACAUCGCAGCAGAGAUGCAGCAGGAGGUUUUCCGAGGUUUUGGGGACUGGUCAUGGUGUCCUGGCUGGAGGUGUUGGACCCCCUCCACGCAGGUCUCUUCUUGCUACGCCUGAACGAGCAGCGCCUGCCCGCCGGGCCCACCCUCUUCUGUGACGUCAACCUCAUCGCCACCAGCGACGCUAAGUUGGCCGCCUGCUGCCAGUACUUCCGCCAGCUGCUGCUGUCGACGUCUUCCCCACCGCCUACGACUCCUGUAUUAGGCAGCCACCACCCGCCGUCUACCCCCUCUUCCAGGCUCAUCCAGGGGGCUGAGCUGGACCUGCCUAACCUCCAGUCCUGUGUGCUGUCCAACCUGCUUGACUUCAUCUACUCCUCCCGUGUUGCCCGCAAGGGCUCCAAGGGGACCAGGCAUUUGUCGGAGGCGGGCCUCAGCCUUAGGGUGCCCAUCUUGACCAAUCUGGUUGAGGAAGAAGAGGAGGCGGAACCAGGGCAGAUGAAGGGAAAAAGCCGGCAGUGCCGAGGAGGGGAGGCCAUGAUGGAGGGGCUGAUGAAUGAUGAGGCAGACGGCCCCGAGAACGCUAAGAUCACCCUCAGCUUCCCCCUCAGUGCCGCCCUGCCCGCCGCCCUCACCGUUCACAACCACCACCCCUCCUCAGCCACAUCCUACCCCCGCCGCCGACACUCCUCCUCAGUCUCCAAGGCGUCCAACGAGGUGUCAGCGUGGAAACUGGAUGCCACCACCACAGACAAACGGCGGCCCUUUAACCCCCCCCAGCGGGACAGCUCCCCGUCCUCUUCCUCCGCCUCCUCUUCCCCUUCCUCGUCUUCCUCUCCUAUGGAUCUUACCGCACUGGUCAAAAAGGACAUCAAAUCCCCCCCACCUCUUUUCAAAGCCGGUCUGGACUCCCAGUUCCACAGGUUCCCCCCCAGGUCUUCCAAUGGGCCUUUAGGUGGUUACCCAGGGGAGGGUCACAGACUGACCAAUGGCACGGCCUCACCCUCAAAGACUGCACAGAUCCUGUUCAACCUGAGCACCGUGGCCUAUCGGGGCCAGGGGGGGCGGGGCACAGACAGAAAGGAGAAAACAGGGAAAAAAGGAGGGAGGGUGGGCAGCCCCCAAGUUGGAACAAACCUACGUCCACCCAACCUCCACCUUUCUCCUCCUCUUCCUCACCCCUCUGAGUCUUUCACUCUUCCUCCUCACUCCUCCUCCACCCCCCCAGAUGGCCCCGAGCCAGAGCUGAUAUGUGGGGUGUGCCACCGCCUCUUCAGCUCCGCCUUGUCUCUCACGGCCCACAUGCGGCUGCACCGUGGCGGCCGGGCCCUCAGCUGCCAGCACUGUGGCAAAGCCUUCAUCCACAACAAGAGACUGCAGUCCCAUGAGGCCUCCUGCACGCACGCUCUGAACCCGGCCCUCCCAUCUAGCAUCCCUCUUCUCCCCAUCCUGGCCAAAGAGGAGCCCCUGGAGGAAGGGGAGGUUAGGGUGGAGGGAGGACAGAUUGUGGGGGCAAGUGAAGAGGAUAUGAAGCCUGGGAAAGGGAAAAAAGGGCGAGGUCUCCUGGUUCGGCAUGAAGGCGACGUGUCAGAGCUGGUGGGGGACGAGGACCACUUCGUCAAGGUGGUGGACGGCCAUGUCAUCUACUUCUGCUCGGUGUGCGAGCGCUCCUACAUGACCCUGUCCAGCCUCAAGCGUCACUCCAACGUGCACUCGUGGCGCCGCAAGUAUCCCUGCCACUUCUGUGACAAGGUGUUCGCCUUGGCCGAGUACCGCACCAAGCACGAGGUGUGGCACACGGGCGAGCGACGCUACCAGUGCAUCUUCUGCUGGGAGGCUUUUGCAACGUACUACAACCUGAAGACCCACCAGAAGGCUUUCCACGGCAUCAGCCCGGGCCUCAUCUCCAGCGAAAAGACAGUCAACGGCGGUUACAAGCAGAAGGUCAACGCCCUCAAGUUCUACCGCCUGCUUCCUAUGCGUUCCCAGAAGAGACCCUACAAGACCUACAGUGACUCCCUGGCCAACAGCCUGCUGCUGCCCCCGUCUGACCCCUCUGCCGUCCCCUUGCCUCAGCCCCUGGACUGCAGCCUGCCCGGCUCCCUGGACCUUCACAGCCUCAUCAGUUGCUCUCUACCCAAGGGUGUGAAGUCUGACCCUGACGAGUUCCCUGCUGGCUUCCCCCUCUCAGUGGGCCUAGAGCAGGGAGAGAUCCCCACACUGCCCCCCUCCCUAACAGGUAUGGCCUUAGGGAGAGUAGCUGACAGAGAGACAGAGUCAGAGCAGGUAGAUAGCUGUGGCAGCAGCUCCAAAGCAUCCGUUCGUAACAAAGUCAAAACUCCAAAGGUCAGCGGUAGCCCAGAGUUGGGUUUGUCUUCUGUCAUCACAUACGGCCACUCCAAGCCCUCCGUCAUAGUGCAUGGCACAGCGGCGCCAUCCGUCAUUGUCCAUAGCAACCAGGUCACCUCUGGGGCCGGGAAAGGCCCCCUGAGCAGUCCCUCCCCUGAAGCUUGCAACAGCCAGACACUCCCCAAGGUCAGUGCAAAGCCUGUUAAAAUUCACAGGGAAAGUACGGAGAGCCAUAGGAAGAGAGCUAAAUUAGUGGAUAGUUCAGAUGCCACAGAGCAGGGGGAGAGGAGGUCAGAAACAGUUAGGUCCCAUCAUAAGUCCCGCAAGGGGCACAGCAAGAGUGACAGCUCCUCAGCCAAACAGUUGUCCACAGGGUCAGAGGGCAAAGGGGCCGGGCCGCUGUGCCAGAUCACGGUGCGGAUAGGCGAGGAGGCCAUGGUCAAACGCAGCAUCUCCGAGACGGACCUCAAGAGGGACAGGAGCCCCCCUUCUUCCAGAGCCAAAAGGAUGGACUCCUCCCCACAUGACUCCAAGGAACCUCGCCACUCCCACCACCACCACCACAAACACCGCUCCCAUCGCAGCUCUAGUGUCGAAGCUGAGGGGGAGAGAGGAGGAGAUGGGGAGAGGGAAAAUGGAGAGGGGGACAGCCGGAAGAAAAGCCCAAAAGCCACGGGCAAAGUCAGAGAGUACUACUUCCGCCAGGAGGUGCGCAAGCAGGGGCAGAGUGAGGAUGAUGAGGACAACCUCUGGAGGCCCUACUACUCAUACAAGCCCAAGAGGAAGGCCCCUCAUGCCCACAAAACAAAGAACUGGCAACGCAAACUCCACUACAAACGCUCCCUCCGGCUAAUGAGGAGGGCAGAGAGACUCAUGGACCAUGUGAAUAAGGAAGACCAAGAGAAGGAGGAUGGAAAGAUGGAUGAGGUGGAGCAGGAAGUGGGGGAGGUGAAAGAUCACAUGGUGCAGGAGGAGGGAGAGGCACCUGAAUCGUUCAGUACUUCCUCUAUACCUUCAAAAGAGAAGGACAAAGAGGGGGAGGACGAAAUCGGGGAAGCACACCUUAAGCUUGCUGAUCCUCCCCUGGUCUCUCCCCAGCCCCCAUUGUCUACCUCAGUCCCCCCUAUGGACACAAAACGUCGGCUCUGGUCCGAUGGAAGUGCGUCGGAGUGCGAUACGUGUGGUCGCUGGUUCUCCAGUUCCAGGAAACGGGAUAAACACGAGCUUAGCCACCUGCUGGAGUUUGUGUGCCUCCUCUGUAGGGCCCCCUUCCCUUCCAGGGACCAACUAGAGGACCACCAGAGAGCCCAGCACCCCAAAGCCCCCAACCCCUCGUCUGUGCAAUCCCGAGCUGGGUGUCAGUCUCGAGAUGAGGGCAUGGAGACAGAGACGGAGUUAACAGAGGUAGAUAGGGCGAGAGAGAGGGUUAUACUAGGGAAGGGAAGUCCAAGUUGCCUAAGCAGGAGGUCAUUGGCGAGACACACCUGUCCCCAGUGCCAUAAGGUGUGCAAGACAUCCUCAGCGCUAAACCGCCACGUGAGGCGCCACGAGUUAAGCAGCUCCCCGGAGAGAGAAAAGGAGGAGACGCAAACAGAGUUAAAAACAGCAGCAGCAGCAGAGACAACAGUUAGCACUGUUAGCAAAGACGUAGACACCACGAGGGACCAUGUUCCCAUUGUUCACUCUGUCCCCGUUAUCAGCUACCCUAUCCCAGAGACACAGCAUAGUAGCGAGGCCAUAGGGCCGCUGCAGUGCGCGAGCCAGCCUAGCGAGGUGAAAGCAGAGCACCAAACUCCAACACUGUGCAGCGGCCCUGAACUCAAAGAACUUAAUGAACUCACAACUCCCAUUCCUGACAGAGAGCCCAGUCCUCAGAUUAUUCAGCCCCCUCCAGAGAUCCCCACAGCCGACCGGCCGACACCAUCUCCCUCCCUCUGCUGCUCCUCGGCCCUCCAGGGUGUGCUGGUCAUGAGCAGCGGAGCUGAAUGUCUGGACUACCGGACCCCCAGGAAGAGGAGUCUGGAGGGGCAGAACCACAGGAGGACCAGCCCUGCACCUGUCACUUCUCCAAAUAUGGCCCCGACCUUGCAGAUGAGAAUCAGCCAUACUGCUGCUCCUCUGUCCGUUGCCAUGACAACAGUGCCCCUCCAAGGGGUCUGUGGUGUGAAGCUGGAGGGUGAUAUUGUGGGAAAAGGACAGAGGGAGGGAUGUGGGAUGGGCCUCCUCCAUCAUGCUGGUUUUAAGAACUCACCAGUCGCCCAAGAUCUCAGGGUCCCACCCUUGUCCAGGAGCCCCAGUCCCAACCAAGCACAAGACCUGACCAUGUCCUCGAUUCUAGCCAGGGAGAGGGAGGUGGAGAGGGAAAGGCAGAGAGAAUGGGAGAGGGAGAUGAAGAGAGAGCUGGAAAGGGAACAGGAUAUGGAGAGAGAGUUGGAAAGGGGGAGGCAGAGGGAAAGGGAUAUGGACAGAGAGCUAGAAAGGAGGAAGCAACGGGAGAGGGAGAUGGACAGAGAGCUGGGAAGGAGGAAGCAGAGGGAGAGAGAGAUGGACAGAGAGCUGGGAAGGGAGAGGCAGAGAGAAAGGGAGAUGGAGAGGGCUCAGCAGUCAAGGGGAGCAUCACUACAGGAGCAGCCCAGAGACAUGGAGGGGACCCUCCUGGUACCCAAAGAGGAGCCGAUUAGUCCCGCACCAUCCCCGAUACACACACCAAUUCAAACUGCUAUUAACAGCCCACCCUUGCAGAGGCGGCCCUCCAAGUUUCCCCGACACUUCCCCACUGCUAUGGACCUGCUGAUGCAGGCCAAUCAACAGGUUGCCCAGUCCCUGCGUGGCACACAGGGUCUCGAGAGGUUUCAGUUGCCCCCUGGGUCGGUCAGUGGCAGCGACCGCCCUUCUGCCCAUGCCCUGCUGCUCCCCCGGGACCCCCCACCGUCCGAGGAAGAGCCCCUGGACCACUCCCCAGCGCCAUCGAGAGAUCCUCACAGAGGGGAGGUCACUGCCAGGGGAUACCCCAUGCAGGACUACCCACUGCCCCUCAUCGUCCAGGGUGGCUACCGCUCUGGCAAGAAGCAGGAGGACAACCUGCUCAUGUCCUACCCGACGGGGCCUCUCUCCUUCGGGCCGCUGGGGAAGAUGGUGCCUACUGGGGAUCUUGCCAAACUGCCGUUCUACCCCGACCCCUACCACCUGCUUUACGGGCCGCAGCUGCUGGCCUACCCCUACAACCUGGCCACCCUGCCUAUGGCUCUGAACAUGAUGGCCCCCGGGGGGGAGAAGGUGGAGCCGUUGCCCUUCCUCCCUGCCCUCUUCAACUACGCUGCUGCAGCUGGUCCCUACGCUGGCAUGGCGCCACACCACCUAGUGGGGAACCCCAGCCUCUACAACAGCAGCGGUGGCAGCAGCAAGAAACAGCGGGACAACAGUAACGGAAAGUUGUAGAAGGUGUAUAUAGAAAUGACAUCUGAGGAAUAUUUCAAAGCGGACGACCAGUCCCCGUAGUGGAGAAGGAAGGGUGCCAUCGGCUCCUUUGUAGUGUGUACACUUGCACAGUCCCCUGCCUCUCUUUUGUAAAGUAGCGAUCAGAGCCAAAGCGUUGAAUCAGGAGGAGGGAUGAUGGGAAGUGGGGGAGUGAAGUAAGAGGAGGAGAGAAAAAAGACAGAUCCCUCAUUCCCCUCUCCUUUCCUCUGGCUCUGGUUUCUGUUCUCACGUCUUUCAGUAGUAAUAGUUCUAGAGCUUGAUUAAUUGUCCUCUCAAACUUGUUACGACAAUAUCUAUAAUAUAAGAAUAACAACAGCUAACAGGGUGUGUUUUGCGAAUCAUUUGUUUCGGUCCGCUUCCCAUUCUGUGGCUGCAUAAUAAAUACAGGGGAGGCCUUGUUUUAGGGACAGAAGGGAUCAGCCAAAAUGGCCAUGAUUCGACGCGGUGGGAGUCGGAGCAUUAAAUUACACUGUGUGAGUGUGUGAUAUGUGUGAUUGCUUUAGUAAACUUGUGCUCCAAGUGUCUGUGAGAGCUUUAUAUGCACAGGUAACAUGCACAGUAUGUAGGAAUUCUGUUUGUGAACGCUGAGGUGGGAUUCUGCUUGUUUGGCGUGGAUGUGUGUGUGGAUGUGUGUGAGUGGCUGUAUGGCUGCCAUCUGAGUGCUGAUCGUUCCAUGGGGUUCUGAGGUGUUAGCAACAUUCUAACACUAGAUGGACUAGGCAUUAUAGGUCAGUGCAUAGAAGCAUUAGAAGGAAUUCCUCUAUUCCCUGUUCACAAAGCAGCAACUCUAGCAAACCAUUUGCCUGGAGUAGAAUCUGUCAAUUACCGAUCUUGUGAGCUUAUGUUACCUCCAGUAACCAUAGUGGCCAGAUGACUUUCAGUCCAGGUCACUAACCUAAGACCAUAGUGGCCAGAUGACUUUCAGUCCGGGUCACUAACCUAAGACCAUAGUGGCCAGAUGACUUUCAGUCCUGGUCACUAACCUAAGACCAUUGUGGCCAGAUGACUUCCAGUCCGGGUCACUAACCUAAGACCAUAGAGUGGCCAGAUGACUUUCAGUCCAGGUCACUAACCUAAGACCAUAGAGUGGCCAGAUGACUUUCAGUCCAGGUCACUAACCUAAGACUAUAGAGUGGCCAGAUGACUUUCAGUCCAGGUCACUAACCUAAGACCAUAGAGUGGCCAGAUGACUUUCAGUCCAGGUCACUAACCUAAGACCAUAGAGUGGCCAGAUGACUUUCAGUCCAGGUCACUAACCUAAGACUAUAGAGUGGCCAGAUGACUUUCAGUCCAGGUCACUAACCUAAGACCAUAGAGUGGCCAGAUGACUUUCAGUCCAGGUCACUAACCUAAGACCAUAGAGUGGCCAGAUGACUUUCAGUCCAGGUCACUAACCUAAGACCAUAGAGUGGCCAGAUGACUUUCAGUCCAGGUCACUAACCUAA